rnacentral:rRNA from 1 species
UACGUAGGUGGCAAGCGUUGUCCGGAUUUAUUGGGCGUAAAGCGCGCGCAGGCGGUUUCUUAAGUCUGAUGUGAAAGCCCUCGGCUUAACCGAGGAGGGUCAUUGGAAACUGGGAGACUUGAGUGCAGAAGAGGAAAGUGGAAUUCCAAGUGUAGCGGUGAAAUGCGUAGAGAUUUGGAGGAACACCAGUGGCGAAGGCGACUUUCUGGUCUGUAACUGACGCUGAGGCGCGAAAGCGUGGGGAUCAAACAGG